CCUACGGGAGGCAGCAGUGAGGAAUAUUGGUCAAUGGACGAGAGUCUGAACCAGCCAAGUAGCGUGAAGGAUGACUGCCCUAUGGGUUGUAAACUUCUUUUAUAAGGGAAUAAAACGAGGCACGUGUGCCCUUUUGCAUGUACUUUAUGAAUAAGGAUCGGCUAACUCCGUGCCAGCAGCCGCGGUAAUACGGAGGAUCCGAGCGUUAUCCGGAUUUAUUGGGUUUAAAGGGAGCGUAGAUGGGUUGUUAAGUCAGUUGUGAAAGUUUGCGGCUCAACCGUAAAAUUGCAAUUGAAACUGGCAGUCUUGAGUACAGGAGAGGUAGGCGGAAUUCGUGGUGUAGCGGUGAAAUGCUUAGAUAUCACGAAGAACCCCGAUUGCGAAGGCAGCUUACUAGACUGUGACUGACAUUGAUGCUCGAAAGUGUGGGUAUCAAACAGGAUUAGAUACCCUAGUAGUC
rnacentral:rRNA from 1 species